rnacentral:lncRNA from 1 species
UAAUUCUAAUGUUUACAAUAUAAAGGUCACAGACAGGUCACAGACUGUUCACAGGUAAUAAAAUUUGGGUCAAAUUUGUAAAAUCAAAAAUCAUGACAAAAGAUUAUAAGAAACAAUCAAAAAGAAUACUUUACUUACCAUUCUUUAGUAUUAACAAACACUUCCAAAGAAUUGUAUAAAUCCAAAGGUACGAAUUAACAAAAGUUAACAGAAACAGUAACCACGCUGUAUCUCAUUCAUAUUUUCAUAUGUUUCAAAAUUCUAUUAAAAGAACCGAUAACGGAUUUUUCUCCGUAAAUUUCACGACACAUGGUCUGUAACAUCUUUAAGUACUUCGAUAAGAUUUUAUAUGAUAUUAUUUUUAUUUAUAAAGUAAUGAUAGAAAAUAG